AUGAACGCUGGCGGCGUGCCUAAUACAUGCACGUCGAGCGAACAGACGGGGAGCUUGCUCCUCUGACGUUAGCGGCGGACGGGUGAGUAACACGUGGAUAACCUACCUAUAAGACUGGGAUAACUUCGGGAAACCGGAGCUAAUACCGGAUAAUAUAUUGAACCGCAUGGUUCAAUAGUGAAAGACGGUUUUGCUGUCACUUAUAGAUGGAUCCGCGCCGCAUUAGCUAGUUGGUAAGGUAACGGCUUACCAAGGCAACGAUGCGUAGCCGACCUGAGAGGGUGAUCGGCCACACUGGAACUGAGACACGGUCCAGACUCCUACGGGAGGCAGCAGUAGGGAAUCUUCCGCAAUGGGCGAAAGCUUGACGGAGCAACGCCGCGUGAGUGAUGAAGGUCUUCGGAUCGUAAAACUCUGUUAUUAGGGAAGAACAAAUGUGUAAGUAACUAUGCACGUCUUGACGGUACCUAAUCAGAAAGCCACGGCUAACUACGU
rnacentral:rRNA from 1 species